CGGAACAGUAUAACUUUCCUUUCGAAUUUUCAUUUUCUGAAAUUAAUUCAUUCGAAAUUAGGAUCAUGGAAUGAUAGGUGCACCAUCUAUGAAUAUAACGAAUCGCAUGUCAUUAGGAAUUGAAAAUCGAUAAUUGCAACUUGAUCCUAUAAUUUUUGCAUGUCAACUUGACGCUUUCAUUCGUCUUAAUUUAACUCAAACUUAUAACGUUUAAAUCUUGAUUCUAAGGAUGGAAGGCGAGGAGAUUGGAUGGAAGGAGAAGAGAAGUAGUUAAUGGAUAAGAAAGAAAGAUUUACUAAUCUUCAAUCAUAUUUUCGUAUAAUAUUCUUAUCAAGUGAUACUACAUAAUUUUAAAACGGAUUUGGAAUAGUGUAGCUAGAGUCCUUUAGCACCACAUUAUAUUCAUAUAAAAAAACCGGUAUAGCACUUCUUCAAAGUUCAAAUCCUUGCUAAGAAUUCCACUUGUCCUUCAAAUCCUACAGUCAAUAUAAAGAACAAAAUAAGAAAAAGGUAAUUAGCUACAAGGAAAACAUCCAUAGAAUAUAUACUUUCUAAGAUGAUAUUAAUAACUAGCGAGGCCAAAUUUUAAAAAUCUGGUGACAACCUCUAGGGGAAAAGAAUUGUGGUGUUUAUUUGAAAGAAAUUAAGCAACAUUAAAAGUGAAAACACAAACUUCAACAUAAGUAGUUUAUAGACCAAAAAAAAUGAAUUUGAAAAAUUUGGGACAAUGACCAUCACUUCGUCGUGGCUCCACCUUGAGCUGUAGUAAUUAUUUACUAAACAAUAUACUCCAUCCAUUUCAAUCUAUGUUAACCUGUUUGACUGAGAAUGAAAUUUUUAAAAAAAAAAAAGACUUUUGAUAUUUAUGAUUCUAAAUCCAAAUGGGGCUCAGAGUAUUUGUGUGGUUAUAAAAGUUUCUCAUUAAUGGUAGAGUUAUAACUUUAAGCUCAAUAGUUACCAAAUUUUGUAACGGUUCAUUAUUUUUGGAACGGACCAAAUAGGAAAUAGGUUCACAUAAACUGAAACGGAGGGAAUAGCAAUCUUUCAUAUUUAUAAAAGGGUCUAAUGGGCAUUGGACAAAAUUUGAGCGGAUUAAAAUGAAUUUAAUUAACAAAGGUGUUAGGUCAUAUCCGCCCAAAAACAUCUAUGGAUGAAUAUAUGUGGGUUAAUUUAAACUAAGUUAAUAUAUCAUAAUCCAAUCCAAAUUAGACCUAACUGACCAAACCCCAAAUUUUUUUUUUCUAAGCUUUGAUAAUUUUUGGCAUGGAUCACUUGGUUACAUAAGCUAUUCAAAUUAGCCCAAAUUUUUUGAUUAUACACAAAUUGAACCCCCAAUGAAUAUUUGUCCAGCCCGAGCCAUCCAAACUUGGACGAGUUGAUCAGCUGGUUAUAUUUUCAUGGGCUAAAUGUGACACAUCCAAAUAUAAUAAUAGGACGAGAAGAAAGUUACUUGGAGCAAUCAACUGUAGGGCUGAUGGGUAUUUUGGUAGUAAGUUUGCAGAGGGUAGGGAGUUGUGCUGCUUUAUCAACGUUUAUAGGGAAAGC
rnacentral:lncRNA from 1 species